rnacentral:rRNA from 1 species
GAGUUUGAUCAUGGCUCAGAAAUCAACGCUGGCGGCGUGCCAAACACAUGCAAGUCGCACGAGAAAGUGGAGCAAUCCAUGAGUAAAGUGGCGCACGGGUGAGUAACACGUGAAUUAUCUACCUCCGAGUGGGGAAUAACUUCGGGAAACCGAGGCUAAUACCGCAUAACACUUACGAGUCAAAGCAGCAAUGCGCUUGGAGAGGAGUUCGCGGCAGAUUAGCUAGUUGGUGGGGUAAUGGCCCACCAAGGCGAUGAUCUGUAUCCGGCCUGAGAGGGCGCACGGACACACUGGAACUGAAACACGGUCCAGACUCCUACGGGAGGCAGCAGUGGGGAAUUUUGCGCAAUGGGGGAAACCCUGACGCAGCAACGCCGCGUGGAGGAUGAAAUCCCUUGGGAUGUAAACUCCUUUCGAUCGGGACGAUUAUGACGGUACCGGAAGAAGAAGCCCCGGCUAACUUCGUGCCAGCAGCCGCGGUAAUACGAGGGGGGCGAGCGUUGUUCGGAAUUAUUGGGCGUAAAGGGUGCGUAGGCGGUUUGAUAAGUCAUCUGUGAAAUCUCUGGGCUCAACCCAGAGUCUGCAGGCGAAACUGUCGGGCUUGAGUAUGGGAGAGGUGAGUGGAAUUUCCGGUGUAGCGGUGAAAUGCGUAGAUAUCGGAAGGAACACCUGUGGCGAAAGCGGCUCACUGGACCAUUACUGACGCUGAUGCACGAAAGCUAGGGGAGCAAACAGCUUUAGAUACCCUGGUAGUCCUAGCCCUAAACGAUGAUUGCUUGAUGUGGAGGGUACCCAAUCCUUC